rnacentral:rRNA from 1 species
UACGUAGGGGGCAAGCGUUGUCCGGAUUUACUGGGCGUAAAGAGCGCGUAGGCGGAAGCUUAAGCGGUGCCUGAAAGCCCCCGGCUCAACCGGGGAGGGUGGUGCCGAACUGGGCUUCUUGAGGGCGAUAGAGGAGAGUGGAAUUCCGGGUGUAGCGGUGGAAUGCGUAGAGAUCCGGAAGAACACCGGUGGCGAAGGCGGCCUGCUGGGCUAUGGCUGACACUGAGGCGCGACAGCGUGGGGAGCAAACAGG